GUGCAUUAGCUAGUUGGUAAGGUAACGGCUUACCAAGGCAAUGAUGCAUAGCCGAGUUGAGAGACUGAUCGGCCACAUUGGGACUGAGACACGGCCCAAACUCCUACGGGAGGCAGCAGUAGGGAAUCUUCCACAAUGGACGAAAGUCUGAUGGAGCAACGCCGCGUGAGUGAAGAAGGGUUUCGGCUCGUAAAGCUCUGUUGGUAGUGAAGAAAGAUAGAGGUAGUAACUGGCCUUUAUUUGACGGUAAUUACUUAGAAAGUCACGGCUAACUACGUGCCAGCAGCCGCGGUAAUACGUAGGUGGCAAGCGUUGUCCGGAUUUAUUGGGCGUAAAGCGAGUGCAGGCGGUUCAAUAAGUCUGAUGUGAAAGCCUUCGGCUCAACCGGAGAAUUGCAUCAGAAACUGUUGAACUUGAGUGCAGAAGAGGAGAGUGGAACUCCAUGUGUAGCGGUGGAAUGCGUAGAUAUAUGGAAGAACACCAGUGGCGAAGGCGGCUCUCUGGUCUGCAACUGACGCUGAGGCUCGAAAGCAUGGGUAGCGAACAGGAUUAGAUACCCUGGUAGUCCAUGCCGUAAACGAUGAGUGCUAAGUGUUGGGAGGUUUCCGCCUCUCAGUGCU
rnacentral:rRNA from 1 species